rnacentral:tRNA from 1 species
AGUUCUAUAGUUUAUAAUAUAAAACAUUAAAUUGCAAAUUUAAAGAAAAAAAAAUUUUUAGGACUU